rnacentral:rRNA from 1 species
GUACUCCUUGCUCAAUUCCGGUUGAUCCUGCCGGAGGCCACUGCUAUGGGGGUCCGACUAAGCCAUGCGAGUCAUGGGGCGCGCUCUGCGCGCACCGGCGGACGGCUCAGUAACACGUCGGUAACCUACCCUCGGGAGGGGGAUAACCCCGGGAAACUGGGGCUAAUCCCCCAUAGGCCUGAGGUACUGGAAGGUCCUCAGGCCGAAAGGGGCUCUGCCCGCCCGAGGAUGGGCCGGCGGCCGAUUAGGUAGUUGGUGGGGUAACGGCCCACCAAGCCGAAGAUCGGUACGGGCCAUGAGAGUGGGAGCCCGGAGAUGGACACUGAGACACGGGUCCAGGCCCUACGGGGCGCAGCAGGCGCGAAACCUCCGCAAUGCGGGCAACCGCGACGGGGGGACCCCCAGUGCCGUGGCACCGCCACGGCUUUUCCGGAGUGUAAAGAGCUCCGGGAAUAAGGGCUGGGCAAGGCCGGUGGCAGCCGCCGCGGUAAUACCGGCGGCCCGAGUGGUGGCCGCUAUUAUUGG